CUAUGGGGGACCCCAAAAACCACCCUAUAGGGUCUGUGAGAACUGCCCUAUGGGGGACCCCAAAAACUGCCCUAUGGGGUCUGUGAGAACUGCCCUAUGGGGGACCCCAAAAACUGCCCUAUAGGGUCUGUGAGAACUGCCCUAUGGGGGACCCUAAA
rfam:Callipepla squamata strain Texas jcf7180005231378, whole genome shotgun sequence.